UAGGGAAUCUUCCACAAUGGGCGCAAGCCUGAUGGAGCAACACCGCGUGAGUGAAGAAGGGUUUCGGCUCGUAAAACUCUGUUGUUAAAGAAGAACAUAUCUGAGAGUAACUGUUCAGGUAUUGACGGUAUUUAACCAGAAAGCCACGGCUAACUACGUGCCAG
rnacentral:rRNA from 1 species